rnacentral:rRNA from 1 species
GACGAACGCUGGCGGCGUGCUUAACACAUGCAAGUCGAACGGAAAGGCCCUGCUUUUGUGGGGUGCUCGAGUGGCGAACGGGUGAGUAACACGUGAGUAACCUGCCCUUGACUUUGGGAUAACUUCAGGAAAGUGGGGCUAAUACCGGAUAGGAGCUCCUGCUGCAUGGUGGGGGUCGGACAGUUUAGGCGGAUGGGGACGGACUCGCGGCUUAUCAGCUUGUUGGUGGGGUAGUGGCAUACCCAGGCUUUGACGGGUAGCCGGCCUGGGAGGGUGACCGGCCACAUUAGGACUGAGAUACGGACCAGACUCCUACGGGAGGCAGCGGGGGGGAAUAUUGCACAAUGGGCGGGAGCCUGAGGCAGCAACGCCGCGUGCGGGAUGACCGCCUUGGGGUUGGAAACCGCUUUAGCCUGUGACGAAGCGGGAGUGACGGUAAUGGGUAAAGAAGCACCGGCUAACUACGUG